rnacentral:rRNA from 1 species
UAUGGAAGGCAGCAGUGGGGAAUAUUGCACAAUGGGCGAAAGCCUGAUGCAGCUAUGCCGCGUGUAUGAAGAAGGCCUUAGGGUUGUAAAGUACUUUCAUCGGGGAGGAAAAAACAAAACUAAUAAUUUUAUUUCUUGACGUUACCCGAAAAAGAAGCACCGGCUAACUCCGUGCCAGCAGCCGCGGUAAUACGGAGGGUGCUAGCGUUAAUCAGAAUUACUGGGCGUAAAGAGCACGUAGGUGGUUUUUUUAAGUCAGAUGUGAAAUCCCUGGGCUUAACCUGGAACUGCAUUUUGAAACUGAAAUACUAGAGUAUCGUAGAGGGAGGUAGAAUUCUAGGUGUAGCGGUGAAAUGCGUAGAUAUCUGGAGGAAUACCUGUGGCGAAAGCGGCCUCCUAAACGAAUACUGACACUGAGGUGCGAAAGCGUGGGGAGCAAACAGGGAUUAGAUACC